GGGAAGGAGAACACCGGGGAGGGGGCCACCAGCAGCAACAGAAAGCAACUGGAAAUGGCCCUAAUGACAGAGAAAGCAUAUCUGAGGGCUGAGCAUGCUCAUCUUCCUCCCCAUUCCCUGCCCCUUGCAGCCUCCCCCGACACAGACAGCAGCGUGGCCAGUGGAAGGACAUCAGAGACUUGCAUUUCAUGGGAAACAGCAUCAGUGAAAGCCACUCGACACUAAAUAAAUAAAAAAUUUCUCUUCUGAGAACAGAUGUUGGAGUUGAGCUGACUGCCUUGCCACCUGGGCAGCCCUCACCCUUUCACUGGCAUUUUUGCUCCGUGGACAUUGCCUGCACCAUUAAGGAGCUGAGCCUCAGUGCCCUUGCUGGCAGCUGUCAUGUUGGAGAGGAUGAAUGUGUCCUAAACUGUCAGAAAUCUUCUGUUGCCAGAUCCUUUCUUGAUGGUAUUUAGAACAGUUUCAACACAUCUGCUGUUUUGUUCUGGAGGAUUGGGUUGGAAGCUCUGGAGUGAGACGCAAGGAACAGCGUCAUCUAUGCCUGCUGUCAGAGCUUUUCAAACACAAAAUGUAUCAACACGAAUGAUGCCAUAUGUUCUUCAUCGCUGCGAAUUGCGUGCCUUCUGACAACAAGAUAGAGGAGGAAGAUUUAUCAGGAGAAUGUUGCCAGAUGCUGUCCAGAGAACAGAGGCGGUCUGUAGCUCUGAGCUAAGGCUAAGUGCUUGUUCCAUACCAAGCCAGUAAACUUCUGGCAUUGUAACAAAUGUGUAUGAGUAUUUGAAGGUUUGAGAGGGAGACGAUGAAUAAUAACGUCUCCUAAUUGAAUAGGAAUAGAGUUAGCUUUUAAAGCCUCAGCAAGUUUGUUGGUUUUAUUUAUUUAUUUUUAUUUUUACUAUUAUUAUUAUUUGCAGAUGUUCAAAUUAAAGUACAUGCCAUUAUAAAAACAAAACAAAAGAAAAACCCUUGGAUGUUCCAAUCAUCUAUUAAAAUAGUAGUUUGGUAUAAUUUGUGGAGCCUGUGAGCUUUAGAAAGUUGUUUUGCCUGUUUGGUCCCCUUGAUGAUGAUGUUGGAAUAAACUACAAACUAACUUUGAAGAUGACAGCUAAGUGGUCUUCAGCUAGUGAUUGGUAGAUUGCUAAUUAGCUCAUAUGAAAGAUCAGGUUUGUUUCUGUGCUGACCACGUUGCUGUUCCUACCGAACACACAACACUUUCAAAAGAUGGGAAUACAUUUUCUACUCCCUAUUCCCAGAGUAAAAAUCAGAAGAGAUAAAUCACGUGAGAAACUAGCAACAAGAAUAAGAAAAGCAUUCUGAAUUUGGAGAAAGGUUGUUUGGAGAAACAUUGAGUGAAAGAAAUGAAGAAACCUGGGGAAAAUAUACCUGCUCUGUUGAAAAAAAAAAAAAAAUAGAGGCAGAAUGAAAAAGCGAACCAUUUGCUUGGUUCAUCAGUGUGUUCUCAGUUGUGAACCAUUUGAGUGGAUACAUGCUUAAUUAUGAUCCUGCAGGAGUAUGUACAUCAGCUGCACAGUUGAUGGGAAAAAAAAGAAGAUUAAAAUGAAUACGUUCUGCGAGUACCAAGAUGGGUAAGAGUUGAAAUAAAUGCAGGUUAAGGAUAUGCAUUUGAAGAUUUGAGAUGGAGAGAAUGAAUUAUAUUCUCAUUGGGUAGGGAUACAUUUGGCUUUGGAAGAUGGAACUCAGCUGUAAUUGUCCGUUUCUGACCAAGAUGUUACAUCCAAUUUCUCUGAUCACUUAAGGAGGGACUGUUGAUUUAAGUUAAGCUAUAGUUUCUGUCUUGUUAUAGAAAAGAAAUGGAAGCAGUGGGUAAUGUACAUAAAGUGAGGACUGAUAAACAGAUCAAAAGAAACUCCAACAGUCGCUUAGAUUUGUUUAAACUUUUUUGUUCUAUUUUCAUCAUCACGUAUGUGCAAACUGAAAAGAUGUAAUAUUAUCAGAUUGAUUUCUGUAACUGAACUUAAAGAAAAAAUAUGAACAGGAUGAGGUAACGUGGACAAAGAGAUCCCAUAUUAACCAUGACAUCUCCAAACACAUUAAAGCGUUUCUCUCAGUAGGGAUAAAUGUAUCUCUGUUAUUAAUAGGAAUCAUGACUAGCAGCUUACUAAUACAUAGGUGAAAUGUCUGUAUAUGUAGCAAAGUACAUAAAGGCAGAUGAGUAAAAUACUGAGCACUUCAAAAAAGAGGAGGCACAUAAGUUAAAAAUAGAAAUGAUUAUUACAUUAUGAAGUUCUUUAUAAAUUUUGGAAUAUCUUACAUCAUUCUACAGCACUGGGAUUAGAAAAAAAUAACACUGUGUGGAGUUACAUGGAGCAUAUUUUUAAAUGUUUAUGAGAGAGAAAUGAUCAAAGGGAAAUACCACGUGGUUAAACCAGAGGUUUGUCACUUGUGAACACUAAUAUUCAAAACUUUACGUUAUGUGUACAGGUCCAAUUUAAUGCAAAGAGGUGUUCUGUUUUUUCUCUCUCUCUCUCUCUUUUAUUUUCAUUAAAAGAGCCAACCAGGUAAUUUGAGAAACGUACAACAGUGGUUUACAUUUAACAUAUUCCUACUGCUGACAUACAAUCCUAUGUUCACCUGCUCACUCAGGGUAUGAUAAUCCAAAACAUGUUCUGUUUUAACCCUGCUAUUUAUCUGUGAAGAUGGCUGAGAGCAGGACUAAGCUUCCUGGUGAGUUUCAUUGGCCAGAUACUGCUAGAUCAAAUUGCAGAUCAGCCUGCACAAAACAGCUGGGAAGACCUGCAUCUACAGGUCAGAAGACCUGCAUCUCUUUUGAUACAAGAAGGCAUAUUCUGUAAAAAUUUGCUUUCAACUGAACAAAGAGAUUCUGAAGCCAAAUUCCUGUCUACUAGAAUGGGAAGGGCAUGCUGGUAGGAAAUGGCAUUACAAAGCAUAUAGUCAGAGAAAUGGAAACAAAACUGCAGUGUCCUAGACGUCAGAACACUCCAGAUACCGUCAGCGAAAGGACAAGAUCGGCGCAGUGAUAUGCAUCCCAGAAAGGCAGGACAACAGCUCCACUGUAGCUUAUUUCUAUGAAUACAGAGAGCUAACACAGUAACAGUCCGUACCAGAAGGCAAUAGUGCUGUGUUAGUGGCUUAAGGACAAUAUUAAAUCUUCCAAAACAUACAAAAAUAUCCCUGCAAAGCAGGCUGACUUUGAACAGACUGCCAGUGGAGGAUAAGGAAGACUGGCUUGUGAUCCUUCUCAGGAAACCUGUUAAAAAAACUUCCUACAGAGUCCUCAACAUUACAGAAGUACGCAAUACCUAACACUGGUUUGUGGCAGCCCCAUAAGCCACCACAGAGAGAGAUGAUCAUUUAUUGACGCAGGACAACUGUUGUGCGACUCUUCACUCAACGCAUUUAUCACACGGAAUUUUUCACACUAUAGAUUGCAAGAGCCUGGUGUCCUUAAAUUAGCCUUGGCAGUCUUAGCAUCAUGUAACAGAAGAUCCAACAUUCCGCCUCCCAGUAACAGCAAAGGGCCACCCCAGCCUCCAUGUCAGGGCCUGAUCAUGCACUGCAGUGCAAAUAGUCUUCUCGCAAAGUUCUAACAUUUUAAACAGAUAAACCCUCCCGAAUAAAGAUCUCCAUACAUGUUAAACCUCCUACCUGCAUGCAUUUUUCUUUCAUUUACCAUUUGUAGAGGUAGAGCACUUAGCGUAUGAUAAACUGCAGAGAGUUCCUGUCUGAUGAGACCAAACCAAAUAUACUGUGCUUUAGGCAAAAUAGUAACACAUCCAGCACUCUGUUAAGGGCUAUGAUAAACUUAAUCUAGCUUGGUUUGCCUGUGGAGAUAAACAACAGAUUCACUAUAUAAUGUUGAUGUUUAUUUCUUUUUCCAAAGCACUGAGCAGACCCUUUUGAAAUCUCUGUAGAAUACCCCUCUUAAGUAAACAGGGCACCAAGCUGAAGUUCAGUCUUUGCUUACAUACACAAACUGAAAGAGCCAAAGGUGUAACAGGGCUGCUGCAAACUCCCUUCUGUGCCUUGGAGGAAUCUUACACUGGCACAAUAAGGAGUUUAUUUGCUAAUUAGCUCAUAGGAAAGAUCAGGUUUGUUGUUAAAGCCUUUUCUGAUUAUGAUGAGUGACAGUACUCUUCAGCAACGUGUGAGUUUGUUACAGGAAAUUUUAGUGAAGGGCUCUUUUGUUCUGCCUCUACUAUUCUUAAAAUAUUGUCAUAUUGAAUGCACGUAUCUGUCAGUUUGUCUUAGUGCUCUGACUGAGAGCUGUAACUGGUGAUGAAACCAAGGUCCUGAGCUUUGUGUCUUUGCAAAGUCGGAAGUGAUGGGUUUGUCCAUUUACAGAGAAAAAGAUGAGUUGGAAUAAUCAAUUCCAAGACUGGAUUUAGCCGUAAGGUCUGGACUAAAGUUCAGUGUUUUCACCUUGCGUCUUAAUACUCUAAUAUUUCAGUUUCAUUAAUAUUUGGAUAUAUUUAUU
ensembl:lncRNA